rnacentral:pre_miRNA from 2 species
UUUUCUGCUCUUCCACAGCUUUCUUGAACUGCAUGCUUCAACCUCAACCUGAUCUAUAUAUUACUUUGCAGUUCAAUAAAGCUGUGGGAAGAUAGAGAGA